CUACGGGAUGCAGCAGUGAGGAAUAUUGCACAAUGGAGGAAACUCUGAUGCAGCAACGCCGCGUGGAGGAUGACGCAUUUCGGUGUGUAAACUCCUUUUAUAUGUCAAGAAAAUGACGGUAGCAUAUGAAUAAGCUCCGGCUAACUCCGUGCCAGCAGCCGCGGUAAUACGGAGGGAGCAAGCGUUACUCGGAAUCACUGGGCGUAAAGGACGCGUAGGCGGGAUAGAAAGUCAGGUGUGAAAUCCUAUGGCUCAACCAUAGAACUGCAUUUGAAACUUCUAACCUAGAGUAUGGGAGGGGAAGAUGGAAUUAGUGGUGUAGGGGUAAAAUCCGUAGAUAUCACUAGGAAUACCAAAAGCGAAGGCGAUCUUCUGGAACAAUACUGACGCUAAGGCGUGAAAGCGUGGGGAGCAAACAGGAUUAGAUACCCGAGUAGUC
rnacentral:rRNA from 1 species